rnacentral:rRNA from 1 species
UACAGAGACUGCAAGCGUUAUUCGGAUUCACUGGGCGUAAAGGGUGCGCAGGCGGCCAAGUGUGUGAGGCGUGAAAGCCCGAUGCUUAACAUCGGAAUUGCACCUCAAACUACAUGGCUAGAGCAUUGGAGAGGGUAGCAGAAUUCAUGGUGUAGCAGUGAAAUGCGUAGAUAUCAUGAGGAAUACCAGAGGCGAAGGCGGCUACCUGGACAAUUGCUGACGCUCAGGCAUGAAAGCGUGGGGAGCAAAAGGG